GCGCGGCCUCGAUCCGAUCUUCCAGGUGAUGCGCACGGUUCCGCCGCUGGCGUGGUUGCCGAUUUCGCUCGCGGCCUUCCGUGACAGCAAUCCAUCGGCGAUCUUCGUGAUCUUCAUCACCUCGAUCUGGCCGAUCAUCAUCAACNNNNNNNNNNCCCGCAGUCGGCAUCCGCAACAUUCCGCAGGACUACCGCAACGUCGCCGCUGUGGUCCGGCUGAAUCCGCUCGAGUUCUUCUGGAAGAUCAUGAUCCCGUCGGCGGCGCCUUACAUCUUCACCGGUCUGCGCAUCGGCAUCGGCCUGUCAUGGCUC
rnacentral:misc_RNA from 1 species